UACGAAGGGGGCUAGCGUUGCUCGGAAUCACUGGGCGUAAAGGGUGCGUAGGCGGGUCUUUAAGUCAGGGGUGAAAUCCUGGAGCUCAACUCCAGAACUGCCUUUGAUACUGAGGAUCUUGAGUUCGGGAGAGGUGAGUGGAACUGCGAGUGUAGAGGUGAAAUUCGUAGAUAUUACGCAAGAACACCAGUGGCGAAGGCGGACUCACUGGCC
rnacentral:rRNA from 1 species